GCAUCUGCAAAAUCAGAUGCCGAAAUUGACCUCUCGCCGUAACUAAAAAGGCGCAUAGCACGCCGACAGCGUGUUAUUU
rnacentral:sRNA from 1 species